rnacentral:rRNA from 1 species
AGGAUCAUUAAUCAAGGAUACCUUCGGGUAUACCCCAUCCGUGUCUACAUACUCUUGUUGCUUUGGCAGGCCGUGGUCUCCCACUGUGGGCUCUGCCUGCAUGUGCCUGCCAGAGGACCAAACUCUGAAUUUUAGUGAUGUCUGAGUACUAUAUAAUAGUUAAAACUUUCAACAACGGAUCUCUUGGUUCUGGCAUCGAUGAAGAACGCAGCGAAAUGCGAUAAGUAAUGUGAAUUGCAGAAUUCAGUGAAUCAUCGAAUCUUUGAACGCACAUUGCACCCGGUGGUAUUCCGCCGGGUAUGCCUGUUCGAGCGUCAUUACAAAACUAAUCAAGCAUGUCUUGGUGUCGGGGAUUGCGAGUUUCUCGCAGCCCUAUAAUCUAGUAGCGUCACCUGUGGGUCCUAAGCGUAGUAAUUUCUCCUCGCUACAGAACUGCUGGUGGAUGGUAUAAAUCGUUGAAUAAAUCUGCGUUCCUGCUAUUAAACCCCCAUUUUUUUAAUGUUGA